rnacentral:rRNA from 1 species
CCCCUUCCUCCCCUCUUAUUUAGAGAGUUCUUAAUACCGGAUAUUCACUUUCUCAUCGCAUGGUGGGUGGUGGAAAGUUUUUUCGGCUGGGGAUGGGCCUCCGGCCUAUCAUCUUGUUGGUGGGGUGAUGGCCUACCAAGGCGACUACGGGUAUCGGCCUGAGAGGGCGACCGGCCACUUGGGACUGAGACACGGCCCAUACUCCUACGGGAGGCAGCAUGGGGAAUUUUGCGCAAUGGGCGGAAGCCUGACCUUUGCACCGCGUGGGGAAUGACGGCCUUCGGGUUGUAAACUCUUCGACCGGGACGAAAGUGAUUGACGGUACCGUAGAAGAAGCUUCGGCUAACUACGUGCCAGACCGCGGUA